AUUGAACGCUGGCGGCAUGCCUUACACAUGCAAGUCGAACGGUAACAGGGAGCUUGCUCCGCUGACGAGUGGCGAACGGGUGAGUAAUGCAUCGGAACGUACCCAGUAGUGGGGGAUAACGCAGCGAAAGCUGUGCUAAUACCGCAUACGCACUGAGGUGGAAAGCAGGGGACCUUCGGGCCUUGUGCUAUUGGAGCGGCCGAUGUCAGAUUAGCUAGUUGGUGGGGUAAAAGCUCACCAAGGCGACGAUCUGUAGCUGGUCUGAGAGGAUGAUCAGCCACACUGGGACUGAGACACGGCCCAGACUCCUACGGGAGGCAGCAGUGGGGAAUUUUGGACAAUGGGCGCAAGCCUGAUCCAGCCAUGCCGCGUGCGGGAAGAAGGCCUUCGGGUUGUAAACCGCUUUUGUCAGGGAAGAAACGCUCUGGGCUAAUACCCCGGGGUAAUGACGGUACCUGAAGAAUAAGCACCGGCUAACUACGUGCCAGCCGCCGCUGUAACAC
rnacentral:rRNA from 1 species